rnacentral:rRNA from 1 species
CCUACGGGAGGCAGCAGUGGGGAAUAUUGGGCAAUGGAGGCAACUCUGACCCAGCAACGCCGCGUGAAUGAUGAAGGUCUUCGGAUUGUAAAGUUCUUUUCUAAGGGAAGAAAAAAGUGACGGUACCUUAGGAAUAAGCCUCUGCUAACUACGUGCCAGCAGCCACGGGAAUACGUAGGAGGCAAGCGUUAUCCGGAAUGACUGGGCGUAAAGGGUGCGUAGGGGGUUUGAUAAGUUGGUAGCGUAACUCCGAGGCUCAACCUCGGCACUACCACCAAAACUGUCGGACUUGAGUGCAGGAGGGGCAACUGGAAUGCCUAGUGUAGCGGUGGAAUGCGUAGAUAUCAGGCGGAACACCAGUGGCGAAGGCGAGUUGCCGGACUGCAACUGACACUGAGGCACGAAAGCGUGGGGAGCAAACAGGAUUAGAUACCCGGGUAGUC